UCCAGACCAAAGUUAAAUCUCUUACUUUGAACUGCGAACGGCUCAUUAUAUCAGUUAUAAUUUAUUUGAUAGUCCCUUACUACUUGGAUAACCGUAGUAAUUCUAGAGCUAAUACAUGCGUCAAUACCCUUCUGGGGUAGUAUUUAUUAGAUGGAAACCAACCCCUUCGGGGUGAUGUGGUGAAUCAUAAUAAGCUUGCGGAUCGCAUGGCUUCGGCUGGCGAUGGAUCAUUCAAGUUUCUGCCCUAUCAGCUUUGGAUGGUAGGGUAUUGGCCUACCAUGGCUUCAACGGGUAACGGGGAAUGGGGCGGGGGCGGCGGGCCGGGCGCGGGGCGCGGCGGGCGAG
rnacentral:rRNA from 1 species